rnacentral:tRNA from 1 species
GCUUUUGGUUCAGUGGUAGAAUGCUCGCCUGCCACACGGGCGCCCCGAGUUCGAUUCCCGGCCGAUGCU